rnacentral:rRNA from 1 species
UACGUAGGGUGCGAGCGUUAAUCGGAAUUACUGGGCGUAAAGCGUGCGCAGGCGGUGAGCUGUGUCCGAUGUGAAAGCCCCGGGCUUAACCUGGGAAUGGCAUUGGAAACUGGCGAACUGGAGUGUGGCAGAGGGGGGUGGAAUUCCGCGUGUAGCAGUGAAAUGCGUAGAGAUGCGGAGGAACACCGGUGGCGAAGGCAGCCCCCUGGGCUGACACUGACGCUCAGGCACGAAAGCGUGGGGAGCAAACAGG